GCCCAGUGAGGAGACCUAGGCAAAUAUGAGCCCAUUGGCUGAGAGGCCAUGUGAUCCUGCUUUCUGAUUGGUGGGUAAUCUUGGUAGAGCAGCGAAGAAUUGCUGUUCUGCUGUAAGGGCCCACCAAUAGAAAGUCAGCAGCUACCGCAUAUCAUUGUCUCUCUCUUCAAGCCAUAGAUGAGAGACUGGGGAGCUGCUAACAGUGUGUGUGUGCAUGUGUGUGUCAGUAAGCACGGUAUCAUGACUCUCUGUUUUGGCCAAUAGGCAUUGAUCCUGUUCUUUGGUAAUCUGAGGGCA